AUUGAACGCUGGCGGCAGGCUUAACACAUGCAAGUCGAGCGGAGUGAUGGUGCUUGCACUAUUACUUAGCGGCGGACGGGUGAGUAAUGCUUAGGGAUCUGCCAUUUAGUGGGGGACAACAUUCCGAAAGGAAUGCUAAUACCGCAUACGUCCUACGGGAGAAAGCAGGGGAUCUUCGGACCUUGCGCUAAAUGAUGAGCCUAAGUCGGAUUAGCUAGUUGGUGGGGUAAAGGCCUACCAAGGCGACGAUCUGUAGCGGGUCUGAGAGGAUGAUCCGCCACACUGGGACUGAAAAUAGGCACAGACGCCUACGGGAGGCAGCAGUGGGGAAUAUUGGACAAUGGGCGGAGGCCUGAUACAGCCAUGCCGCGUGUAUGGAGAAGGUCUUCGGAUUGUAAAGCACUUUAAGUUGGGAGAAAGGGCAGUAAGUUAAUACCUUGCUGUUUUGACGUUACCGACAGAAUAAGCACCGGCUAACUCUGUGCCAGCCGCCGCUGUAAAAC
rnacentral:rRNA from 1 species